AUUGAACGCUGGCGGUAUGCUUAACACAUGCAAGUCGAACGGUAACAGGCCUUCGGGCGCUGACGAGUGGCGGACGGGUGAGUAACGCGUAGGAAUCUGCCUUAUAGUGGGGGACAACGUGGGGAAACGCACGCUAAUACCGCAUACGCCCUACGGGGGAAAGCGGGGGAUCGUAAGACCUCGCGCUAUGAGAUGAGCCUGCGUUAGAUUAGCUAGUUGGUAGGGUAAAGGCCUACCAAGGCGACGAUCUAUAGCUGGUCUGAGAGGACGAUCAGCCACACUGGGACUGAGACACGGCCCAGACUCCUACGGGAGGCAGCAGUGGGGAAUAUUGGACAAUGGGCGCAAGCCUGAUCCAGCAAUACCGCGUGUGUGAAGAAGGCCUUAGGGUUGUAAAGCACUUUCAAUGGGGAGGAAAACCUGCCGGUCAAUACCCGGUAGCUUGACAUUACCUAUAGAAGAAGCACCGGCUAACUCCGUGCCAGCAGCCGCGGUAAUACGGAGGGUGCGAGCGUUAAUCGGAAUUACUGGGCGUAAAGCGUGCGUAGGCGGCUCGUUAAGUCAGAUGUGAAAGCCCUGGGCUCAACCUGGGAACUGCAUUUGAAACUGGCGAGCUAGAGUUGAGUAGAGGGGAGUGGAAUUUCAGGUGUAGCGGUGAAAUGCGUAGAUAUCUGAAGGAACACCAGUGGCGAGGGCGACUCCCUGGACUCGAACUGACGCUGAGGUACGAAAGCGUGGGUAGCAAACAGGAUUAGAUACCCUGGUAGUCCACGCUGUAAACGAUGUCAACUAGCCGUUGGUCCUAUUUACAGGAUUAGUGGCGCAGCUAACGCAUUAAGUUGACCGCCUGGGGAGUACGGCCGCAAGGUUA
rnacentral:rRNA from 1 species